UGGCAGGGCGCCGGGCGAGGGUGUGCAGAGGUCAGCGGGGAGGGCCGAGUGGCAGCGUUCUUGGGACUGGCUGCCAGCUGCAGCUGGACCUGUUUGCCUGGGCUGGGCUGUCUCACUUCCCCUGGAGCGGAGAGAACACUGGGGAGGAAGAUCAGGCGUGGGCAGUGCUUCAGGGGCCCUUGAACUCCAGGAUGGCCAGCUCCUGCCACAGGGGACCCAGCCAGCCGUGGCCAGAAGCCAGGGAGCCACAUGCUGGAGCCGAGGACAGGCUGUCGUGAGAUCAGUUCCAGCCCCUAGCCCCCUUUCCCUGCAGGCCUGGCCUGGGGGGCUAGCACAGGCUGCCAGGGGAGGUCUCUUGCCCUGUGUGACAGGGGGUCCCAGCCUGUGGCCUGCAGCCAUCGACACCACAACAAGAUCCUUGCUGGGGUGUUCUGCAAAACCUCAGGAACCCUGUGCCCACAAACACUGCGUGAAAGUCACCAAGUAACCCUUCUGUGAUUAUUCAUUCAUCUGAGGUUUGCUCAGCAACUUUCAGUCAUCUCAAUCCUGUUGCGAUGAAAUGCAAAGUCCUCUGACAGCGUUGUGGGAUUGGGAUCCCCUAAACCCUCUGGGGUGGAUUUUAUCCUGAAAG
rnacentral:lncRNA from 1 species